rnacentral:rRNA from 1 species
UGAGUUUGAUCAUGGCUCAGGAUGAACGCUGGCGGCGUGCUUAACACAUGCAAGUCGAACGAAGCGCUUUGAAAGCUUGCUUUUAAAGUGACUGAGUGGCGGACGGGUGAGUAACGCGUGGGUAACCUGCCUUAUACAGGGGGAUAACAGUUGGAAACGACUGCUAAUACCGCAUAAGCGCACAGUGCCGCAUGGCAUAGUGCGAAAAACUCCGGUGGUAUAAGAUGGACCCGCGUCUGAUUAGCUAGUUGGUGAGGUAACGGCUCACCAAGGCGACGAUCAGUAGCCGGCUUGAGAGAGUGAUCGGCCACAUUGGGACUGAGACACGGCCCAAACUCCUACGGGGGGCAGCAGUGGGGAAUAUUGCACAAUGGGGGAAACCCUAAUGCAGCAACGCCGCGUGAGUGAAGAAGUAUUUCGGUAUGUAAAGCUCUAUCAGCAGGGAAGAUAAUGGCGGUACCUGACUAAGAAGCCCCGGCUAACUACGUGCCAGCAGCCGCGGUAAUACGUAGGGGGCAAGCGUUAUCCGGAUUUACUGGGUGUAAAGGG